AGAGGUUGUGCCCUAGUCUUGCUGUCCAGAAGCAUCUUGCCUCUUCCAGCAGCACUGGCUCUGGUCCACAGGCUUAAGCAAAGGUUGUAGAAGUGGCUGGGGGUUGGGGGACAUUGUCUCUAAUGGUUUAGGCCUGGUUUUCAGUUCUCCCUCCUAAGGAAUGGGCCCUGAAUCAGGAGGGACAACAUGGUCACAUGGAAUUGCCUGUAACCUCACAUGGGAUAUUCUUUGCCCAUGGUUGAUCAAUAGGGGUUGGACUCUGCUCUGAGCCACCCCUCAGCAUGGCUUCAUUAUUGGUCAUAGCUAUGUCAAUAAUACCCUCCUUCAAUACAGCAUACCUUGACCAGCCAGCCCUGAGUAUUGUGUGUGGGUGGAUGAGGUGUGGUGUGGAAGUGUCCAAGGACAGAGGGGCAAGACCCAGAGGGAGAAGGGACUGGAGAAACCCUGAGUCUGAUGUUCGGGAAUGGGUUUGGCUUGUGUCUUUCUUUCCCUGGCACCCACGUCAAAGUCACUCACUUCUCUAUACGAGGCUUCAAAAACCAGAGCUUGGACUUUGGAGUCCUCAGGCUACUGGGAGGGACAGUCACUAACCACUGGGUGGACACGUGUUGGACUUGUCAUAUGCAGGUAGCAGGCUGGACCGGCCUACUGCUUGAGGGAGGGAUACCUCAAGUCCUUCGUGGAAACUGGUGAGGGAGGGCUGUUUGUGGAAUGGGGAUCUGCUGGUGAGCUGCUGCUGCUGCUGGGGGUAGCAGAAGAGGCUGGAGACAGACGGGUCACUAGGGCACUGCUGAGUCACUAAAACGUCCUUCUUGUUGAGGAAGAGCACGAUAGACGUUGUGGCGAAGUAGCGAUGAUUGCAGAUGCUGUUGAACAGGUGCAGGCUCUCGUGCAUUCGGUUCUGGGGAGGGGAGCGGCUGUUGGGCAUCAGGCUACGCAAGCAGCUGCCCCUGGGUCUCUGCCCUCCCGACACCAACGGCUCCCAGACAGCUUCUGUUCCCACCAUGUCGUAAGCGCUCAGCGCAGCGAUGAAAAUGAUGCACGUCACACCCUCAAAGCAGUGGAUCCACUUUUUGCGCUCGGAACGCUGCCCGCCCACAUCGAACAUUCUGUCGGGUAGAGCCGGGUCCGGAUUUAGAUCGGUGUGUCUGGUCGGUCACCUGGAUAUGCCCACUGCCCCCCAACCCCACCCCCGUCCUCCUAAGCUAGCUGGAGAGCCCUCAUCUCGCUUGGCAUCUGAAAUGACCAGCCUUUCUCCUGGCAAGGACCUUCACUCAAGACACUGACGUCCCAGUGAGUCCAGCUGUGCUCCUAGCGCAGGGGCCUUACCUGAAGUUGAGGUCCUUGAAGGAGAAUUGAGUCUCGAUAAUACCAGUGGUUUUGACACGAGAACGCAACACGUCCUGCUCAGUGGGCACAUAUCCUGGAGUCACCAGACGCUCUAGGUCUGAGAGAUAGCUGAAGAAGACCACCCGGUCCGAGUGGGUGAGUGGCGUGGGCGAUCACACCCGCGGGGUCCUGCCUACUCACCUCCCCUGCCCUCCUGCAUCUACAUGUGUACUCACUAGCCGGCGGAGUCAUUGAGCUGGUAUUCUGAGGCUCGGUCAAAGCAAGCUUGGAUACCCGAGUCCUUCCACAAGCGCUGAAUGAUGUCUGACAUCUCCUUGGGCAUUGUGCCUUCCUCAAUAGUAUCUGCCAUGUGCAUGAGCUUCCGGGCAUCAUCCUAGUGGUGGGGCAGGGUAGUGGUUGUGAAUCUGAGCCUAGCUAGGUGCCAUGAGCCUAACCAUCAUCAGCCUGCCUCCUGCCUCACCUGCCGGGCUGAAUCUCCAUACUGAAUGUUGAGCGUGGUCAUAGCCCGAACGAUGGCCAGGAUGGACUGCAGAGUGUUGCCGUAGAUGAUGGCAAUGAACUCGAGGCAUUCCUCCAGCGAAUACCCGUCCUGGUGGAUAAUCCUGUAGCCAAGACCAGCAAAGUUAGAGCCACCUGGGCAAGUAGGGAAGGACAGGUUCUGAUGUGCAUGCACCCACCCACCACUAGGGGGCCUUAGGAUGGGCAGGGAACACUCACUUCAUCUGUUUGACAAUAGUGCUCUUCCCGGAUUCACCGGCACCUGAAAGGAAAGCUGUGCUUCAGAGCCGCACUUCUUUUGGAUCAGAGCCCUGGGGUGCCAACUAGACCUCUAGAUAGUCAAAGUAUCAUCAUUGCCCUCAUCUCUAUUCAAAGUAAAGUCUUUAAGACCCCUGAAGAAAGCCGGGCGUGGUGGCGCACGCCUUUAAUCCCAGCACUUGGAAGGCAGAGGCAGGCGAAUUUCUGAGUUCGAGGUUUACAGAGUGAGUUCCAGGACAGCCAGGGCUAUAACAGAGAAACCCUGUCUCGAAGAAAAAAAAAAAAAACCUGAAGAAAAAUGGCUGUAAGUGACAAAAGGGACCUACAUCAGUUAAGGGACCUCAACUGUGUCCAGUGGGAAGGAGGAGGCGUCCCAAAACUCUGUUGUGUAAAGAAAGUCGGGCUGGUGAGAUGGCUCAGUGGGUAAGAGCACCCGACUGCUCUUCCGAAGGUCCAGAGUUCAAAAUCCCAGCAACCACAUGGUGGCUCACAACCAUCUGUAACAAGAUCUGACUCCCUCUUCUGGUGUGUCU
rnacentral:lncRNA from 1 species